UGUUUGGAGAGUUUGAUCCUGGCUCAGGACGAACGCUGGCGGCGUGCUUAACACAUGCAAGUCGAACGGGCCUGCCUGGCUUUGGUUGGGUGGGUGAGUGGCGAACGGGUGAGUAACACGUGAGUAACCUGCCCUCUUCUCUUGGAUAACUGCUUGAAAGGGCGGCUAAUACGGGAUGUUCUGGCUGCCUCGCAUGGGGUGGUUUGGAAAGAUUCGGCCUGGUUUUGGUUGUUUUGGUGGGGGAUGGGCUCGCGGCUUAUCAGCUUGUUGGUGGGGUGAUGGCCUACCAAGGCGGUGACGGGUAGCCGGCCUGAGAGGGUGGACGGUCACACUGGGACUGAGACACGGCCCAGACUCCUGCGGGAGGCAGCAGUGGGGGAUUUUGCACAAUGGGCGCAAGCCUGAUGCAGCGACGCCGCGUGAGGGAUGGAGGCCUUCGGGUUGUGAACCUCUGUCGCCGGUGAUGUAGGCUCUGCUUUGUGGGUGGGGUUGACGGUAGCCGGGGUAUGAAGUGCCGGCUAACUACGUGCCAGCAGCCGCGGUAAUACGUAGGGCGCGAGCGUUGUCCGGAAUUAUUGGGCGUAAAGAGCUCGUAGGCGGCUGGUCGCGUCUGUCGUGAAAUCCUCUGGCUUAACUGGGGGCGUGCGGUGGGUACGGGCCGGCUUGAGUGCGGUAGGGGAGGCUGGAAUUCCUGGUGUAGCGGUGGAAUGCGCAGAUAUCAGGAGGAACACCGGUGGCGAAGGCGGGUCUCUGGGCCGUGUACUGACGCUGAGGAGCGAAAGCGUGGGGAGCGAACAGGAUUAGAUACCCUGGUAGUCCAUGCUGUAAACGUUGGGCACUAGGUGUGGGGGGUCUUUCCGGGUCUUCCGCGCCGUAGCUAACGCAUUAAGUGCCCCGCCUGGGGAGUACGGCCGCAAGGCUAAAACUCAAAGGAAUUGACGGGGGCCCGCACAAGCGGCGGAGCAUGCGGAUUAAUUCGAUGCAACGCGAAGAACCUUACCAAGGCUUGACAUGGGCCGGUGGUUCCCGGAGACGGGAGCGUCCCCUUUUUGUGGGCUGGUUCACAGGUGGUGCAUGGUUGUCGUCAGCUCGUGUCGUGAGAUGUUGGGUUAAGUCCCGCAACGAGCGCAACCCUUGUCUCGUGUUGCCAGCACGUUGUGGUGGGGACUCGCGGGAGACUGCCGGGGUCAACUCGGAGGAGGGUGGGGAUGACGUCAAAUCAUCAUGCCCCUUAUGUCUUGGGCUUCACGCAUGCUACAAUGGCCGGUACAGUGGGUUGCGAUGUCGUGAGGCGGAGCGAAUCCCUGAAAGCCGGUCUCAGUUCGGAUCGGUGUCUGCAACUCGACACCGUGAAGUUGGAGUCGCUAGUAAUCGCAGAUCAGCAACGCUGCGGUGAAUACGUUCUCGGGCCUUGUACACACCGCCCGUCACGUCAUGAAAGUCGGCAACACCCGAAGCCCGUGGCCUUAUGGGGAGCGGUCGAAGGUGGGGCUGGUGAUUGGGACGAAGUCGUAACAAGGUAGCCGUACCGGAAGGUGCGGCUGGAUCACCUCCUUU
rfam:Actinomyces sp. oral taxon 448 str. F0400 genomic scaffold SCAFFOLD2, whole genome shotgun sequence.